CUGUAUUUUCGAUAAAGAGGCUACAGAAGGCCAAGAAAUGGUCAGACAGGGCACUUCCCAUAUAGAAUCUUCUCAGGUUUUGGCCUGCCAUAUUAGUUCUGUUAUACUCACAGACACCAUUCAAACAGUUUUAGCAACUUUAGGGUGUUUUCUAUCCAAAUCUACUAAUUAUAUGCAUAUUCUAGUUUCUGGGCACGAGUAAUAACCAGAUUAAAUCGGGUACAUUUUUUAUCCGACCGUGAAAAUACUGCCCCCUAUCCUAAACAGGUUAACCUAGCUUGGCUCAAUAAUAGCCUGCUUUAAUAACAGAAGACCAAAUAACUACCAACUUAAAUGUCAAUGUUUAAAUCAUAGUUGAUUAUCUAGAUAGUUGGUUGGUUAGUUUCUCUACUGAAAAACUAUAAAACGUACCUCCCUAUUGUCAGCCAUCUAUCAUCAAAAAUCAGGUUAGAGAGCAGUGACGCAAGUGUUUGCUUGCGCAAUAAUGUUUUAUCUCUCCAUCUUGUGCGCAUUCGACUUUUAGACGAUUUGACUCCAGACAAUAGAGGACUUAAAAAAAAUGUGUUUAGCUCUCUAUACAAUUUAUUUAGGAAACCAACGGUGGUUGCACAGUACACUGGGGAAAAACUGAAAAUCCUUAUUGAUCAGAGAUGGACUGGCCACCUCGCCACGGUUUCAAUAAUUUUGGAAAUCAAGUGACAACAUCACAAAGAUGCUCGGUGAAAUCGCGUAUACUCGUGCAUAUGGCACAGAUAUGAGACUUGAGGCUAGCAGUGACAGAGCCGUGCUUUACCGCAGUGUGCAAAAUGACAGUUGUGUAUAUGACUGUAUUUCAGCUAAGCCUACAUUUGUGUACAUUUUGCAGUAGUAUAGAACCAAUAGCGUGUGUAGCCCAACUUAAAGAAGUAGGCAAACGUUCACUCUGUUCAUUGUAUAUAAUGUAUGUAAACUUUGUUUAAACUCCGCUGUCUGUAUCAUGUGUCUAAAUGUUGUCUAUCACUAGCAGCACCAUAUCACCAAGUAACAUUAUGAGUAUGUGCAAAUGUACUUGGCGAAUUAAGGUGAUUCUGAUUCAUUUGCAUUGCACAAAGUGCUAGGCUAUGGAAAAAGGGACAUCAAUACUAUGAAAACGGCAAAUAGCCUACUUUUUGUCUCAUCCCUGCUCUCUUGCUAUAGCUUGUGUGUGUGUGUUGCUCUCUGAAUGGGCAUUUACUCUUAUUUGCGGCCGAUUCGAAUGGGCUACUGACAUGUAGGAAAUUUCACAUCAGCUAUGAAAAUAUAAUAUGCUCUUAGUUUGAUUUAGUUUGCUUUCCUGAAACUCUCCCACAGAAAAUAUUGCGCAUCUGGAGAAGUGGCGGCCGUAGGUAACACGCAUGCGUACACUAAAAAUUAGGGGUUCAACGAGGGUUCUUCUAAAAUUCUCAAAGUUCUUUGAAGAACCAUAGGGUUCUUGGCACUGAAAAUUGCCCUCAAAAGGUUAUUCCAAGAACCCCAUAGGUGGUGGGGUUCAUUGAGGAACCUCCUUAGUUGGUGGGGGUUCUUGCAAGAACCUAACUGCCCAACUAAAAGUUUGGAUUUGAAUUUGAAAGGACAGCAGGUGCAGGCACUUAACUGAAAAAUGUAAAGAUCUCCUCAAUUUAAGGUAAGGUUUGUCCCUUAUAUGAUCUACAUUUAUAUUGUUUUGUGAUGAUACCAUCUAUCUCUUAAUAUUUGUGCAAAUCUUUCUAGAACAGAUAAUGGACACAAUUCAAUGCAUAUCAAUCAACAAAGAGGUAAGAAUAUGUAUGCUAUUAGAAUAUGUUGAAGGCUAGCAGCAUUGUGUGCAGAUGACUGAACUGCUCACUUUUGUGUCUGUGUCUGCAGGUAUACAGACGAUGAGGCAUACGAAAGUAUGUCUAUUGGUAUGUUAUGGAGAUCACAUGUACCAUCCUCUUCCCUUACCUCAUCAAUGAAUAUCCCAUAGGCCUGUACAUUAUGGACAAGACUUCACCUUCCCUACACCUCUGAUGAAUAACACAGGAUACCUGUUUGACCACCAUGCACUGCAAAAUCAUUCUGGCUAUGGAUACGGAGAACAUCAACACAUAACAUCAACAAGCCAGAGUAUAUACCCAUUGGACAUGGGGCUCUGCUGGGAGUUUACCUCAUAUUUAGAUUUUUUUAUUCUGCUUUGCCACUAAAAUCAUAAUCCACACUGACAACUAAAAUAUUGUGUUAUUGUUAUGUGUGUUGUUAUUAGUAUUAUUUAUUAUUAUUAAUAAUAAUAGGGGAGGGGGGGCAGUUAAAAAUUAACCCCAAAAGGUUCUUCUAAGGUUGUUCGAGGAGCCAUUAAAAGAAGAACCCUUUCAAAGGGUUAUUUGAAGAACUUAUAGGGGUUCCCCCACAGUUUCAAUUUGAAGAACCCCUAACCUAAAGAAUACUCCAGGAACCUUUUUAGAGUGUAUGAAGCCUGUAAGAAUCUUUGAUUUCAUCCUGUCGCCAUCUUCUGGAUGCAGCUUCGGUAGCUUGAAAACCUCCAAAAAGCUCAAAGAUGAGAAAAAAAUACUAAAACUAAACAUAAUUCAUUAUAUUUUUUACUGUCUUUUAUUUUAGUUAGUUUUGGAGUCAAAGAUUAUUGUUUCAGUAUAGUUUUAGUUUUUUUUAACAGGUUGAAAUUGAUUUUAUUUCAGUUUACUAAAUGUUUUUUUUUCAUUAUUUGUUUUCGGUUCAGUUUUCGUUUACUAUAAUAACAUUGCUCUAAACCAUUAUGUGCUUGACACAACAGCAGUACAGGAAGGCCUGCCUCUGACCCAGCCACUAACCUAACCUAGGCCUAUUUAAUGACAUCCUUCGGCACAAUGGUUUGAAUUUUAUUAUAUCAGUUUUCACCGGUUGUGUUCAGGCUUAUAAGCACUGUCGAUCUGUAACUGAUCUGUAAAUGACUAUGAGAGGAGCACCGUUUCUCCCGGGAUGGUUUUAUCAAUCCAAUUUCAUCAGAUCAGUGCAGAUUACUUAAAAUGUAUAAAUUUUUUUUGAGUAUUCAAACAGAGCCAUAUACUUACCCUGUUCUGUCCCUCGUCUUCUUGGGUAUAUGGGGAACUGAUUUUAUGACUUUGCUUAGCCUUAGAGGCAACUUCUACCGGAUCUGUUCUUGACUCAUAAACCACUGAGCGGCGCUAUGUCAACAUUGCGUAAAUUAAACUCGUGCACCAGCCGGCUCGCUCUCUGUCUGCUCCAGCAAUUCGAGCCUGCAGGGAUGAGGUUACCUAGAAGUCCACUGUGGGAGGAAUGUAAACAUGCCGAUAAUCUUGUAUAGUGUACAUGCAACACUGCUGCAUACUUUUUUAUUGAAGCCUUUGUGACCCAAAUAUCACAAUUCUAUUUGAAUACAAAAUGUUACUUUAAUUAUGCAAGAUGAAAUAUUAGAAAUGUCUAUUGUCAGAGGCACUGGAUGCAUUGAAAAAUUUGUUUACAAGCAAGAAAAAUGAAUUUAACAAACAAUUGUAAACAAGCAUCUGUAUUCAUGUACUUUUAGGCCUAUUUGAUUCCUAAACUAUUGUAAAAAGUAUAGGCCUUUGGUUGACAAUGACUUAUAGAACAUAGGUCAUGAUGAUUAAAGAAGUUACUUGAAUACUGGCAGGGUCUUUGUAUUCUCCUCUUGGUUGAAAAUGACAUGUGAAAGGAAAAGUUAAAGUACUUUAUCUAACCAAAAACACAAAACAAUCAAUCAACGCCAACAUCAUUUAAUGAUAUUAUCAUUAUAAAACAUGAAAGCACUUUAGUCAUUGAAUGGUGUUUGGGAACAUUGGACAUGCUUUAUUUCAGAACUUUUCACAAUUGAUUUAAACAUCUCACAUAUACAAAAUAGGUACAAUAAACUUUGUGGGUUUUUUCUUUUGAGAGAGAGGCCGCCUAAAAUCCAUUAAAAAUGGAUGAAAUAAUGUGCUGUCAGCAUGAACACUGCAUUGAAGGAGGGAAUUGAAGGAGAAAAAUGGCUGAACAAAAACAAAUCAAAACUUCUAGACAAAAAUGAACAAAAAAAAACUUUAAAAAACGGUCAAAACCAGACAAACAUCAGACCAGAAAAUUCCACCUGCUUAAAAUGGGGUUAAUCAGGGGGGACCUGUGCAAGACUCAUCAAAGUCAAUACAAAGAAACACAGUAAGAAUGAGAGUGGUUUCCUGCUCCUACACAGCUGUAUGUUUAGCACCAUAGGUCUCUGCUUCAAGUAAUUCAGCACCUUUGAUACAGGACGGAGCUUGAAGCCUUAGAACUCGUAACUUCUAGGUUGUGGAUCAGACAGGUUCUCAAUAUUUUUUCUAAAAAACAGGCAUGAGGUAGCUUCAACCUUUUUUUGUAAUAUUUUUGUGGUUUUAAACCUCCUCUUUGGAAGAUAUACAAAGAGCACAAAGUGAUGCGUUUUUAUUACACUUCUUUUAUUUUUUACAAAAUGAUGACAUGUCCCACAACAUGGUGUUUUCCCGCGUCUCUUUGGGCUGCUGUAUUAAUUUGCAUUGCACAACGCUCCGUUCAGUCCAUUGGUCCUCUCCGAUAGAGCCCAGCUUAAGCAAGUGGAUGCGCAGAGGAAAAUCAGCAUUCAGUAUAAAAA